rnacentral:rRNA from 1 species
CCCGGGCCUUGUACACACCGCCCGUCACACCAUGGGAGCUGACUCAACCAGAAAACGGUCAGGCUAACCGCAAGGGGGCCUCCGUUGAAGGUGGGGUUGGUGACUGGGGUG